CUACGGGUUGCUGCAGUGGGGAAUAUUGCACAAUGGAGGAAACUCUGAUGCAGCAACGCCGCGUGGAGGAUGACACAUUUCGGUGCGUAAACUCCUUUUAUAUGGGAAGAUAAUGACGGUACCAUAUGAAUAAGCACCGGCUAACUCCGUGCCAGCAGCCGCGGUAAUACGGAGGGUGCAAGCGUUACUCGGAAUCACUGGGCGUAAAGCGCGCGCAGGCGGCCUUUUAAGUUGGAUGUGAAAGCCUAUGGCUCAACCAUAGAACUGCAUCCAAAACUAUCAGGCUAGAGUGUGGGAGAGGAAGAUGGAAUUAGUUGUGUAGGGGUAAAAUCCGUAGAGAUAACUAGGAAUACCAAAAGCGAAGGCAAUCUUCUGGAACAUUACUGACGCUGAGGCGCGAAAGCGUGGGGAGCAAACAGGAUUAGAUACCCGCGUAGUC
rnacentral:rRNA from 1 species